AUGCCGACGCAGAGGAGGGAGUGCCUGAUCUUCUGUUCAUACAUGGGCUUGGUAACAGUGCAGGCUUGAGCUGAAAUGACGAUUUUGCCCUCAUACCUGAUUUCUUGAAAAUCAAUGUGAAUCUUCUUCAUAUGUGGUUGAUUUAGGGAUUGGGCUCUGCGAUUGCAAGAGAAAUUUAGGGCAAGAUGAUUGAGGUAUUCGCUAGUCUCCCGAACAAGUCUACAAUAGUUGGUGGUCUUCAUGGACGACUUGGUUAAGAACAAUGCAGAGUAAAAUAGGCAAGUGCUCUCUACCCUUUAUCGGGCCAGAUUUACAUAAAACUUCGUUAUGUGAAAGCAG